rnacentral:rRNA from 1 species
AGCGUAGGUGGCUUGGUAAGUUAUAUGUGAAAGCCCACGGCUUAACCGUGGAAGUGCAUAUAAAACUACUGAGCUAGAGUGUGGGAGAGGUAAGUGGAAUUCCUAGUGUAGCGGUGGAAUGCGUAGAUAUUAGGAGGAACACCAGAGGCGAAGGCGACUUACUGGAACAUAACUGACACUGAGGCUCGAAAGCGUGGGGAGCAAACAGGAUUAGAUACCCUGGUAGUCCACGCCCUAAACGAUGGAUACUAGAUGUGGGGAGAUUCGACUCUUUCCGUAUCGAAGCAAACGCGAUAAGUAUCCCGCCUGGGGAGUACGGCCGCAAGGUUGAA